rnacentral:rRNA from 1 species
GUAAGGUGGGAUAGCACGUUGAAUGCUCCAGUUCCCAAUGGAUCACUGAAGCAACGUUCCGUGUGGUUGGUAUCCGGAUGGGUGACCAUCUGGACAAUCACGUGCUGGCCUUCA